rnacentral:rRNA from 1 species
UAGGGAAUCUUCGGCAAUGGACGAAAGUCUGACCGAGCAACGCCGCGUGAGUGAAGAAGGUCUUCGGAUCGUAAAACUCUGUUGUCAGAGAAGAACAAGGACGUUAGUAACUGAACGUCCCCUGACGGUAUCUAACCAGAAAGCCACGGCUAACUACGUGCCAGCAGCCGCGGUAAUACGUAGGUGGCAAGCGUUGUCCGGAUUUAUUGGGCGUAAAGCGAGCGCAGGCGGUUGCUUAAGUCUGGUGUGAAAGCCCCCGGCUCAACCGGGGAAGGUCAUUGGAAACUGGGAAACUUGAGUGCAGAAGAGGAGAGUGGAAUUCCAUGUGUAGCGGUGAAAUGCGUAGAUAUAUGGAGGAACACCAGUGGCGAAGGCGGCUCUCUGGUCUGUAACUGACGCUGAGGCGCGAAAGCGUGGGGAGCAAACAGG